rnacentral:tRNA from 1 species
GCUUCGCUAGCUCAGGGGUAGAGCGUUUCAUUCGUAAUGAAACGGUCCGUAGUUCGAUUCUGCGGCGAAGCA